AUCUGGGCGGCGGAAUUCAGGAUGGCUGGGCGGGUUUCGCGCUUGUCCGGCCGUUUGAUAUUUCCGUCGCCGUGUCGGACGUCGCGACCUGUUCGUCGUCGGUCCUUGCUCGGAGGAAUUGUGAUCGAGUUCGCAGCGCGAUGCGUUCCGGCGUGUCGCGCGGCGAAGACGCGACUCUCUGGCCGACGACAGACAGUAAGCAACGGUGUCCGACGCCGUGUCUCGUACGCGGCGCCGGUGCCGGUCUGCGACGAUUUCUUCGGGCCUCUUUCCGACCCGUCUUGAAACACGGACCAAGGAGUCUAACAUGCGCGCGAGUCGCGGGGUUUCGAGUGCGCUACGGCGCGCUCGUCACUUGCGAAACCCGUACGUGGAAGGCGUAAUGAAAGUGAAUAGGGAAGAUGGCGUUCCGAGUCCACGUACCGUGAUCGAGUGUCGCGGCCGGACGUCCGCACUCCCGGGGCGUCUCAAUGGUUCGUCGCGGACGCGGACGGUCGUCUCUCGGGGCGAUCGUCGGUCUGCGCCGGACCGA
rnacentral:rRNA from 5 species